UCUCCUUCAAGCUUCUCUGGACCAUCACCUGUGGGUCAGUCAGCAGAGGUGACUGGACUAUAGGAUCCCCAACCUGGUCUAGGUGUGGAGGGAGGGAGGGCAAGAGGAGAAGUAAGAGGACAAGUAUCAGGAAAGCCAAUAUUAGAGUAGAUGGAACAUGCUAAAGGGAGAGGCUUUCAGAUUAUUUGGCUCAAUGUUCUUGUUUUCUCUGGGGAAUGUGGGGAAGGUUCUAAGUCCACCCUCCACUGCUGGUUUGGAAUAGAGAGAAGGGUUAUCACAGCUGUUAUGGGGAAAGGAUUCUGGAACCUAAUAGUUAACUCUGGGCUUUGCCAUUUGACACCUCCCACCCCCUGCAAACCUCAUUAACUUGCUUUGCCAGAGGGAGGGGAACUGCCUGGUGCCUGGGGGUCUCAGCUCUCUCUCUCUCACUUCCAGAACAACAGGCCCACAGGGGAGAAAUUUCUAUCACACUUAUCCUCCUUGGACUUCGGGAAGUAAAAACCCAGCCCCCCUCCCGCUGGUGUGUGGACACACUUGAGCCCGGAGGAGUGUUAAAAUUCAGCCGGAGAGGCACCCAGCACUACAGAAGCCUAGAUAAAGGGAAAGGAUUUCAGGCAAGAGGAAAAAAUAAAAUAAAGAGGCAAGACUUAAAAUGUCCUGUGAAAUGGAGAGCAUUUGGCCCUCGGCACACAUGUCUGCGGGAGAUGACUCAACUCCUUUAUAAAGUGAGGAACCAAAUUGUGAAGACAUCUGUUCUGUUAUUAAUUUCACAUAAAUCUUAAGCUCCUCAAGGCCAGAAAUGAGGCUUCAUUCACGUCGAAUUAAUGAAACAUGAUUGUAAGUCCCUUGCAUGGAAAUGCUGUCACACAAUUCUGAGCCGCUUAUAAGCACCCAGUAAGCUCAGAAACUGCCAGGGGACAGCCAUGUGAAAUCCGCCCUCCCCUCCCCCUGCCACCCGAAAACAAUAUCUGAAAAUAUCACAACACUAACUAUAUCCUGAAAGAUUAAUAGCAGAUGAGCAUUUCUGGGAAAUGAAUCAGACUUUCUCCGUAAAGGAUACCGGGUAAAAGCAGAUUGCACAAUAUAAGAGCUCUUUGGAUACAGUUUAAUAACUCUGCAGCCCUACGUGCACCUGACAGGAGUGGGGGGGUCCUGGGGUGUCUGGCAGAGAUGUCUUUUGGGAGGAUGUUGAAGGCAUAGGAUUGAAACAGGAAACCUGGACUGGCCAAAGCAUGAUACACAUGUGUCACGCGUGUGAGAGAAUGUGU
rnacentral:lncRNA from 1 species